rnacentral:miRNA from 1 species
CAUACCCCUGUUGGCCUUGGUCAACAGGGGUGCAUACCCCUGUUGGCCUUGGUCAACAGGGGUGCAUACCCCUGUUGGCCUUGGUCAACAGGGGU